CAGUAGCCGCGGGAAAACGAAGGGUGCAAGCGUUGCUCGGAAUUACUGGGCGUAAAGCGUGCGUAGGUGGUGGUUUAAGUCCGUUGUGAAAGCCCUGGGCUCAACCUGGGAAUUGCAGUGGAUACUGGGUCACUAGAGUGUGGUAGAGGAUAGUGGAAUUUCCGGUGUAGCAGUGAAAUGCGUAGAGAUCGGAAGGAACAUCUGUGGCGAAGGCGACUAUCUGGGCCAACACUGACACUGAGGCACGAAAGCGUGGGGAGCAAACAGGAUUAGAUACCCCAGUAGUCCCUGUCUCUUAUAC
rnacentral:rRNA from 1 species